UACGGAGGGAGCUAGCGUUGUUCGGAAUUACUGGGCGUAAAGCGCACGUAGGCGGCUUUGUAAGUUAGAGGUGAAAGCCUGGGGCUCAACCCCAGAAUUGCCUUUAAGACUGCAUCGCUUGAAUCCAGGAGAGGUGAGUGGAAUUCCGAGUGUAGAGGUGAAAUUCGUAGAUAUUCGGAAGAACACCAGUGGCGAAGGCGGCUCGCUGGACUGGUAUUGACGCUGAGGUGCGAAAGCGUGGGGAGCGAACAGG
rnacentral:rRNA from 1 species